ensembl:lncRNA
CUGUGCUUGACACGUAGCUGGUGCUUCAGAAACAUUUAGUAUUGAUAUUGGGUGACCGUGGUCAAUGAGCUCGCCAAGCUUUUAAGAUGUACCUGGCUGAUUCCGUGCAGCGUGGUGGCAGUGAAUGAAGUGGAGGAAUGCAGUCCAGCAAGAGGCAGAGGAGAAGGCUGAAACCACAGGAAAGGAAGAAAAAGAAACCUUCUUCAGAAUUCCAUGGAUGGAGGGGUCUGGAGGGCUAUGGUCCAUGGGAUUGCAAAGAGUCGGACACGACUGAGCAACUAACACUAAACCUUCUUCAACAUGGGAAGAGCAGGAAACUGGGCCUCUGUAAACUUGAACUCCGGGAGUUGGCGAUGGACAGGGAGGCCUGGCGUGCUGCAGUCCAUGGGGUUGCAAAGAGUCAGACACGACUGAGCGACUGAACUGAACUGAACUGGCACAAACUGGCACAACUAUCCCCCAAUUAAAAAUAACAUUAUCCUCCAAUUAAAAAUAUAAAUAAAAAAACAAAACAGAAG